rnacentral:lncRNA from 1 species
AUUCCGACGGGUUAUUUCAGCAUAUUCGUCGCUGCAUAUCUAGGUUUCACUGGACCUGUACCGGGAUUGAACAACAACUAUGAAAUUCGGAUGACGUUGGAGGAAUUGACAGUUUCCCCAAAAUGGGUUCCGUUUGAAACUGCCGUUGCUUUCAAGGAGUUUGAACUUUUGAGGAUCUACGAAGGUUGCAAAGAAGGCGAGGAAGAGAACUUUUAUGAUAUUUCUCGUAUGUAUAAGACUUUUGAAAAUUGUGAUUUUUUACUUGUGAGGAGUUGUUUAGAAUUUGAACCGGAAUGGCUGAAAGUAGUAGAGGAUAUUCACCCAAAACCGGUGAUCCCGGUGGGCCAACUUCCGACGACAUCAUAUGAAGAUGACAACACAGAUAUUGAUGCGUGGAGAGAAAUAAAAUUAUGGCUUGAUAAGCAAG